GGGCGCAUAGCUCAGUUGGGAGAGCAUCUGCCUUACAAGCAGGGGGUCAUAGGUUCGAGCCCUAUUGCGCCCACCA
rnacentral:tRNA from 2 species